rnacentral:lncRNA from 1 species
AUAUAUAUAUAUAUAUAUAUAUAGAACUAGGCUACUAUACUAUCGGUAGCACGGAGCGCUCCGUGCUACCGAGUUGUUUUCGAUGAUGUGGUGUCACGCCCCGGAUUACAUGCUCCUCGGGCACACCGACAAAUCCGCCGUAUACAAAAAAAUUUCUCCUGUAUAUGAAGCGUAGCUGUACCUAUAUAACAUACAGUACUACAACCAGUAGUAUAGAGCUGCAAGAAGACAAAGAUAUCCAGGUAGAAAAAAAAACAGUUCACUAUACAUACAACAUCCAGUACCCAAAAACUCGCCCAGCGAGAUACAGAAAAGGUAUGUAUAUGAACUCAAAAACCACACUACUUGAAGCGGGUAAUCCUCUAGCUCGGCGACUUGUCGGGUAGGGCUCUAGCUCGCAACGCCCUUGCCACGAUCUGCCUCAAAAGAUGCAGCAGCCGGAACCGAAGGCUCUGCAAAAAUAGUAGUAACAACUGGGCGUGAGAACUACUGUAAACACAAGUAGUCCUCAGUGGGUACUGCCCUCAACAACGUCGGUCCACCGACUAAGUCUACAGAAGGGAGCAAGAAUAGUAGGAAAUGCUGGAAGAAAAUCUACAGC